CCGAGCAAGCCCCCCCGGGGGCGACCUCCAACCCUCUGUUAUCGAACUGCGUUUCCUCCCGGGGCGUGCCCGCGCCCCCCGCGCGCCACCCCCGGGGCGGACCCUUUUCAAAACUCUCGUACCCUUUGCCGUCGGAGUAAACAUGUAAAUCAUAUCA
rnacentral:misc_RNA from 1 species